GACGUAGGGCGCGAGCGUUGUCCGGAUUUAUUGGGCGUAAAGAGCUCGUAGGCGGCUUGUUGCGUCGACUGUGAAAACCCGCGGCUUAACCGCGGGCUUGCAGUUGAUACGGGCAGGCUAGAGUUCUGUAGGGGAGACUGGAAUUCCUGGUGUAGCGGUGAAAUGCGCAGAUAUCAGGAGGAACACCGGUGGCGAAGGCGGGUCUCUGGGCCGAUACUGACGCUGAGGAGCGAAAGCGUGGGGAGCGAACAGG
rnacentral:rRNA from 1 species